rnacentral:rRNA from 1 species
CCUACGGGCGGCAGCAGUGGGGAAUAUUGGGCAAUGGGCGCAAGCCUGACCCAGCAACGCCGCGUGAAGGAAGAAGGCUUUCGGGUCGUAAACUUCUUUUGUCAGGGACGAAGCAAGUGACGGUACCUGACGAAUAAGUCACGGCUAACUACGUGCCAGCAGCCGCGGUAAUACGUAGGUGGCAAGCUUUAUCCGGAUUUACUGGGUGUAAAGGGCGGGUAGGCGGGACUUCAAGUCAGAUGUGAAAACCACGGGCUCAACCUGUGGCCUGCAUUGGAAACUGUAGUUCUUGAGUACUGGAGAGGCAGACGGAAUUCCAAGUGUAGCGGUGAAAUGCGUAGAUAUUAGGAGGAACACCAGUGGCGAAGGCGAUCUGCUGGACAGCAACUGACGCUGAGGCGCGAAAGCGUGGGGAGCAAACAGGAUUAGAUACCCUUGUAGUC